UGGGGAAUUUUGGACAAUGGGCGCAAGCCUGAUCCAGCAAUGCCGCGUGCAGGAUGAAGGCCUUCGGGUUGUAAACUGCUUUUGUACGGAACGAAACGGUCUGCCCUAAUACGGUGGGCUAAUGACGGUACCGUAAGAAUAAGCACCGGCUAACUACGUGCCAGCAGCCGCGGUAAUACGUAGGGUGCGAGCGUUAAUCGGAAUUACUGGGCGUAAAGCGUGCGCAGGCGGUUAUGUAAGACAGAUGUGAAAUCCCCGGGCUCAACCUGGGACCUGCAUUUGUGACUGCAUAGCUAGAGUACGGUAGAGGGGGAUGGAAUUCCGCGUGUAGCAGUGAAAUGCGUAGAUAUGCGGAGGAACACCGAUGGCGAAGGCAAUCCCCUGGACCUGUACUGACGCUCAUGCACGAAAGCGUGGGGAGCAAACAGGAUUAGAUACCCUGGUAGUCCACGCCCUAAACGAUGUCAACUGGUUGUUGGGUCUUCACUGACUCAGUAACGAAGCUAACGCGUGAAGUUGACCGCCUGGGGAGUACGGCCGCAAGGUUG
rnacentral:rRNA from 2 species